rnacentral:rRNA from 1 species
UGACGUUGAAUCCAAUUGAACCGCAGCUUCACCCCUUGUGGUGCUCCCCCGCCAAUCCUUUAAGUUUCAUACUUGCGUACGUACUUCCCAGGCGGCAGACUUGACGGCUUCCCUGCGGCACUGCAUUGGCCACAAGCCAAUGCAUCACCGAGUCUGCAUCGUUUACAGCUGGGACUACCCGGGUAUCUAAUCCGGUUUGCUCCCCCAGCUUUCAUCCCUCACCGUCGAACGUGUUCUGGUACACCGCCUUCGCCACAGGUGGUCUUCAAUAGAUCAAAGGAUUUUACCCCUUCCUAUCGAGUACCGUGUACCUCUCCCACUCCCUAGCUGCACGGUAUUUUCGGCGGCCUAUACGUUAAGCGCAUAGAUUUAACCGAAAACUUAUGCAACCGGCUACGGAUGCUUUAGGCCCAAUAAACCUCCUGACCACUCGAGGUGCUGGUUUUACCGCGGCGGCUGACACCAGAACUUGCCCACCCCUUAUUCACCAGUGAUUCUACAACUGACAAAAGACUCCUUUAGCAGGAGACACUCGGAUUAACCUUGUCGUGCUUUCGCACAUUGCAAAGGUUCUCGCCUGCUGCGCCCCAUAGGU